rnacentral:rRNA from 1 species
UACGUAGGGUGCAAGCGUUAAUCGGAAUUACUGGUCGUAAAGCGUGCGCAGGCGGCUUUGCAAGACAGAUGUGAAAUCCCCGGGCUCAACCUGGGAACUGCAUUUGUGACUGCAUGGCUAGAGUGCGGCAGAGGGGGAUGGAAUUCCGCGUGUAGCAGUGAAAUGCGUAGAUAUGCGGAGGAACACCGAUGGCGAAGGCAAUCCCCUGGGCCUGCACUGACGCUCAUGCACGAAAGCGUGGGGAGCAAACAGG